rnacentral:rRNA from 1 species
GCCGCGGUAAUACGGGGGAUGCAAGCGUUAUCCGGAAUCAUUGGGCGUAAAGCGCCUGUAGGUUGUUUAAUAAGUCUGUUGUUAAAGACUAGGGCUCAACCCUAGAAAAGCAAUGGAAACUGUUAGACUAGAGUAUGGCAGGGGUAGAGGGAAUUUCUAGUGUAGCGGUGAAAUGCGUAGAUAUUAGAAAGAACACCGGUGGCGAAAGCGCUCUACUGGACCAUUACUGACACUCAGAGGCGAAAGCUAGGGUAGCAAAAGGGAUUAGAUACCCCUGUAGUCCUAGCCGUAAACGAUGGAUACUAGAUGUUGUAUGUUAUUUACAGUAUCGUAGCUAACGCGUUAAGUAUCCCGCCUGGGGAGUACGCUCGCAAGGGUGAAACUCAAAGGAAUUGACGGGGGCCCGCACAAGCGGUGGAGCAUGUGGUUUAAUUCGAUGCAACGCGAAGAACCUUACCAGGGCUUGACAUACUACAGAUUCCUUUGAGAGAGAAGUGCCUUCGGGAAUGUAGAUACAGGUGGUGCAUGGCCGUUCUUA